CUAUAAAAUGAAAGCCUCAGUUUGGUGCGGAGUUAUUAUUAUACAAAAAUCAAGAAAAUCUUUGGAUUUGUUUGAUUCGUAGAUUGUAGGCUAUUUUAAAAGCUGAUAUUAUAUAAAAACUAUUAAUAACUGUAAUUUUCAAAAAAUAAAAAAUUAAAUAAAAAAGGGGUUUGUUGAUGCCCCGUAUGCAGCCAAACUUUAAAAAUGUAUAAAGCAUAUUUUAAUCGUUUAACUGAUACCAUUCAUCGGUUUCAAACGCACCCUUUCGGUUAUUGCUUAAUCAGUUAUUUUGAGCAUCCC
ensembl:processed_transcript